rnacentral:misc_RNA from 1 species
UCCGGCUUAUCACCGGCAGUUUCCUUAUAGUUCCCGGCAUUACCCGCUGGCAAAUAAGAAUGAGGGUUGCGCUCGUUGCGGGACUUAACCCAACAUCUCACGACACGAGCUGACGACAGCCAUGCAACACCUGUGUGUGGUCCAGCCGAACUGAAGGGAUGUAUCUCUACUUCCCGCGACCACCAUGUCAAGGGUUGGUAAGGUUUUUCGCGUAACAUCGAAUUAAACCGCAUGCUCCACCGCUUGUGCGAGCCCCCGUCAAUUCCUUUGAGUUUUAAUCUUGCGACCGUACUCCCCAGGCGGAGUGUUUAACGCGUUAGCUGUGAAACCGAGAGAUAAUCUCCCGAUAUCUAACACUCAUCGUUUAGGGCGUGGACUAC